GACGAACCGAGCGAACGUUGUUCGGAAUCACUGGGCUUAAAGGGCGCGUAGGCGGGCUGCCGCGUCCGGGGUGAAAGCCGUCCCGCUCAACGGGAGAACGGCCUCGGAUACGGGCGGCCUCGAGGGGGUAGGGCACCUGGAACUGUGGGUGGAGCGGUGAAAUGCGUUGAUAUCCACAGGAACUCCGGUGGCGAAGGCGAGGUGCUGGACCCCGUCCUGACGCUGAGGCGCGAAAGCCAGGGGAGCGAACGGG
rnacentral:rRNA from 1 species